GACGAACGCUGGCGGCGUGCCUAACACAUGCAAGUCGAACGGAGUAAGUAGCAAUACUUACUUAGUGGCGAACGGGUGAGUAACGCGUAGACAACCUGCCUCUAACUUGGGGACAACACCGCGAAAGUGGUGCUAAUACCGAAUGUGGUAACUUGGUCGCAUGACUGAGUUAAGCAAGAUGGCCUCUACCUGUAAGCUAUCGAUUAGAGAUGGGUCUGCGUCUGAUUAGCUAGUUGGUGAGGUAAUGGCGCACCGAGGCGACGAUCAGUAGCCGGUCUGAGAGGAUGAGCGGCCACACUGGGACUGAGACACGGCCCAGACUCCUACGGGAGGCAGCAGUGGGGAAUCUUCCGCAAUGGACGAAAGUCUGACGGAGCAACGCCGGGUGAGUGAAGAAGGUUUUCGGAUCGUAAAGCUCUGUCGUGUGGGACGAACGUAUCUUGUGUGAAUAAUGCAAGGUAAUGACGGUACCAAAGGAGGAAGCCACGGCUAACUACGUGCCAGCCGCCGCCGUAA
rnacentral:rRNA from 1 species